UACGGGGGGAGCAAGCGUUGUUCGGAUUUACUGGGCGUAAAGGGCGCGUAGGCGGCCAGCACAAGUCAGUUGUGAAAUCUCCGGGCUUAACUCGGAAAGGUCAACUGAUACUGUGCGACUAGAGUGCAGAAGGGGCAACUGGAAUUCUCGGUGUAGCGGUGAAAUGCGCAGAUAUCAGGAGGAACACCAAUUGCGAAGGCAGCUCGCUGGGACGUUACUGACGCUGAGACGCGAAAGCGUGGGGGGCAAACAGG
rnacentral:rRNA from 1 species